GCUCGCGUGGCGGAAUUGGUAUACGCAAAGGACUUAAAAUCCUUCCCGCUUUUGCGGUUGUGGGUUCGAGUCCCACCGCGAGCACCA
rnacentral:tRNA from 2 species